rnacentral:rRNA from 1 species
CGCAAGGCGGAUAGUGGCAAACGAGUUAGUAACACGUGGAUUACCAGCCCCUGCCACGGCCAUAGCUCAUUGAAAGAUGAGGUAAUAGCCGAUGGUAUCGCCGCAAGGCGAUUAAAGACGCAAGUCGGGCAGGGAUGGGUCUGCGGCCUAUCAGCUAGUUGGUAAGGUAAAGGCUUACCAAGGCUAUGACGGGUAGGCGGUGUGAGAGCAUGACCGCCGACGAUGGGACUGAGACACGGCCCAUACUCCUACGGGAGGCAGCAGUCGAGAAUAUUGGUCAAUGGGGGAAACCCUGAACCAGCGACGUCGCGUGUUCGAAGAAGCCCUUCGGGGUGUAAAGAACUUUUCUGGGGGGAGAAUCCGCCGCAAGGCGGAUGACGGUACUCCAGGAAUAAGGGGGGGCAAACUCUGUGCCAGCAGCAGCGGUAAUACAGAGCCCCCAAGCGUUAUCCGGAUUUAUUGGGCGUAGAGAGUCUGUAGAUGGUAUGAAAAGUCUUCGGUUAAAGCUCCAGGGCUCAACCUUGGAAAUGCUGAAGAUACUUUCAAACUAGAGGGCGUUAGGGGUUGGUGGAACGGUCGGUGUAGGGGUGAAAUCCGUUAUAUCGACCGGAAUCCUAAAAGCGAAGGCAUCCAACUGGAGCGACCCUGACAUUGAGAGACGAAAGCGUGGGGAUCAAAAAGGAUUAGAUACCCUUGUAGUCCACGCUGUAAACGAUGGAUACUAGCUAUUUGAAGUGUCGACCCUUCAAGUGGCGAAGCUAACGCGUUAAGUAUCCCGCCUGGGAAGUACGGCCGCAAGGCUAAAACUCAAAGGAAUAGACGGGGAUUCACACAAGCGGUGGACCAUGUGGCUUAAUUCGACAACAAGCGAGGAACCUUACCAGGGCUUGACAUUCUAGUGAAAAUCCUGAGAAAUCAGGACCUUCUCACAAGGACACUAGUUCAGGUGCUGCAUGGUUGUCGUCAGCAUGUAUCUUGAGACGCACGCUUAAAUGCGGUAACAUGCGCAACCCUUAUCGUUUGUUUUAUUUGUCAAACGAAACUGCCUGGGACAACCAGGAGGAAGGUGAGGAUGACGCCAAAUCAGCACGGCCCUUUGAUGCCCUGGGCCGCACACGUGGUACAAUGGGGCUGACAAUGGGAUGCAAAGCGGUAACGCGGAGCUAAUCUCAUCAAACGGCCUCUCAGUCCGGAUUGAGGUCUGAAACCCGACCUCAUGAAGCUGGAAUCGCUAGUAAUCGCCAAUCAGCUAUGUGGCGAUGAAUACGUUCCUGAAUCUUGUACUCACCGCCCGUCACAUUAGGGAAGCCGGCAAUAGUCGAAGUUCCCGCAUUAGCGGGGCCUAAGCUAAGGUCGGUAACAAGAAUGAAGUCGUAACAAGGCA